rnacentral:rRNA from 1 species
GACAGAGGGGGCAAGCGUUGCUCGGAAUUACUGGGCGUAAAGGGCGCGUAGGCGGGAUGGCAAGUCGGUCGUGAAAUCCUUCGGCUCAACCGAAGAACGUCGAUCGAUACUGCUGUUCUUGAGGGUUGCAGAGGAGACUGGAAUUCCCGGUGUAGCGGUGAAAUGUGUAGAGAUCGGGAGGAACACCUGCGGCGAAGGCGGGUAGCUGGGCCGACACUGACGCUGAGGCGCGAAAGCCAGGGGAGCGAACGGG